AAAAAUAUACUUUUGUUUGAGUAUUUAUACUCUCUCAAAUAGUAUACUUUUCCUCCGCCGAAAGGUGUAGGUAAUCUUUAUCAGUACAUAUCGUGAUGGGGAUAGAUUAUUGCAAUUAUUAAUCUUGAACGAGGAAUGCCUAGUAAGCAUGAUUCAUCAGAUUGUGCUGACUACGUCCCUGCCCUUUGUACACACCGCCCGUCGCUCCUACCGAUUGAAAGAUAUGAUGAAUUGUUUGGACAAGAAAAGGGAAAAUUAUAUUUUCUUUUUUCUGGAAAAACCGUAAAUCCUAUCUUUUAAAGGAAGGAGAAGUCGUAACAAGGUUUCCGUAGGUGAACCUGCGGAAGGAUCAUUA
rnacentral:ncRNA from 1 species